UGGGGGAUAUUGCACAAUGGGCGAAAGCCUGAUGCAGCGACGCCGCGUGGGGGAUGAAGGCUUUCGGGUUGUAAACCUCUUUCGCUAUCGAACAAGGCCCGCUUAGGGUGGGUUGAGGGUAGGUGGAGAAGAAGCGCCGGCUAACUACGUGCCAGCAGCCGCGGUAAUACGUAGGGCGCGAGCGUUGUCCGGAAUUAUUGGGCGUAAAGGGCUUGUAGGCGGCUUGUUGCGCCUGCUGUGAAAACGCGGGGCUUAACUUCGCGCGUGCAGUGGGUACGGGCAGGCUUGAGUGUGGUAGGGGUGACUGGAAUUCCAGGUGUAGCGGUGGAAUGCGCAGAUAUCUGGAGGAACACCGAUGGCGAAGGCAGGGCACUGGGCCAUUACUGACGCUGAGGAGCGAAAGCAUGAGUAGCGAACAGG
rnacentral:rRNA from 1 species